GUGUUGUCCUUUCCUGACUGCUUCAUUUCUGAACGUGAUCAGAAAACCAGUGGAGACUCAUUACCUCCAGGGCCGACAUUAUAAAAUGAAUAACGUUAGGGUGAAAAUCCCAU